rnacentral:rRNA from 1 species
UACGGAGGGUGCGAGCGUUAAUCGGAAUUACUGGGCGUAAAGCGCAUGCAGGUGGUUAGGUCAGUCAGAUGUGAAAGCCCGGGGCUCAACCUCGGAAUUGCAUUUGAUACUGCCUAACUAGAGUACUGUAGAGGGGGGUAGAAUUUCAGGUGUAGCGGUGAAAUGCGUAGAGAUCUGAAGGAAUACCGGUGGCGAAGGCGGCCCCCUGGACAGAUACUGACACUCAGAUGCGAAAGCGUGGGGAGCAAACGGG